AGGGUUUGAUUAUGGCUCAGGAUGAACGCUGGCGGCGUGCCUAACACAUGCAAGUCGAGCGAUCUUCUUCGGAAGAGAGCGGCGGACGGGUGAGUAACGCGUGGGUAACCUGCCUCAUACACAUGGAUAACAUACCGAAAGGUAUGCUAAUACAAGAUGAUAUAAGAGAUUCGCAUGGAUUUCUUAUCAAAGCUCCGGCGGUAUGAGAUGGACCCGCGUCUGAUUAGCUAGUUGGUAAGGUAAUGGCUUACCAAGGCGACGAUCAGUAGCCGACCUGAGAGGGUGAUCGGCCACAUUGGAACUGAGACACGGUCCAA
rnacentral:rRNA from 1 species